rnacentral:rRNA from 1 species
GGACGGGUGGCUGUGGUCGUGCCAAUGGCAUCGCACUGCAGGCCUGUUCUUUCCUUUUGGACAACGGGCGUGCUCUUCGCUGGGUGUGCUCGCGAUCCAAAACUUUUACUUUGAAAAAAUUAGAGUGUUCAAAGCGGGCGUUUGCUUGAAUACAUUAGCAUGGAAUAAUAGAAUAGGACUUUGGUUCUAUUUUGUUGGUUUCUAGGACCAAAGUA